rnacentral:lncRNA from 1 species
AAAAAAAAUUACAAAAGUAUCAAACCAAAUAUCUUUAAAAGUAUUGCAGUUCGACUCUCUCUCUUUAUAGACUUAUCUUACAUUAUAUAAAAAUUUAAUAUGUAUAUGUUAAGUGAAAAACUUAUGUUAUCAUCUAAUCACUAGAGAUUAUCUAUUUUGAGUUUGAACAGACCGUCCCUAGCAUAAGUGGCAAAAGGGGUUGGUGGUUGGUAUCCGAGACCCAAGUUCGAAUUCUAGUUGAUCGAUUCACAUUUCCAGCUAAAUUUAUUUUUAAAUGAAAUAAACGAAGCGAGUAGCAUGCUAUCUUUCUCUCAAAAAAAAAAAAAUCUAUUUUGAGUUUGAGAUUAGUUAUGUUU